AUAAGAAGCCAGGGGAGCCGACAGGCGGUUGACUGCCUGAUCGGCUGAGAAAUCACCACGUGGGUGAUGACCCUACGAACCUGAUCAGGUUAGCACCUGCGAAGGGAGGCUCGGCGAAUGUGAC
rnacentral:ncRNA from 2 species